rnacentral:rRNA from 1 species
GAGUUUGAUCAUGGCUCAGGAUGAACGCUAGCGGCAGGCUUAACACAUGCAAGUCGAGGGGUAUUGGAGGCUUGCUUCCGAGAGACCGGCGCACGGGUGCGUAACGCGUAUGCAAUCUGCCUUGUACUGGGGAAUAGCCCGGAGAAAUCCGGAUUAAUGCCCCAUAGUAUUUUAGAGUGGCAUCACUUUAUUAUUAAAGAUUUAUCGGUACAAGAUGAGCAUGCGUCCCAUUAGUUAGUUGGUGUGGUAACGGCACACCAAGACUAUGAUGGGUAGGGGUCCUGAGAGGGAGAUCCCCCACACUGGUACUGAGACACGGACCAGACUCCUACGGGAGGCAGCAGUGAGGAAUAUUGGUCAAUGGACGCAAGUCUGAACCAGCCAUGCCGCGUGCAGGAUGACGGUCCUAUGGAUUGUAAACUGCUUUUGACGGGAAGAACCCCUUUAGUGUAAAGGGCUGACGGUACCGUAAGAAUAAGGAUCGGCUAACUCCGUGCCAG